AACGAACGCUGGCGGCAUGCCUAACACAUGCAAGUCGAACGAAGCCUUCGGGCUUAGUGGCGCACGGGUGCGUAACGCGUGGGAAUCUGCCCUUGGGUUCGGAAUAACAGUUAGAAAUGACUGCUAAUACCGGAUGAUGUCUUCGGACCAAAGAUUUAUCGCCCAAGGAUGAGCCCGCGUAGGAUUAGGUAGUUGGUGGGGUAAUGGCCCACCAAGCCGACGAUCCUUAGCUGGUCUGAGAGGAUGAUCAGCUACACUGGGACUGAGACACGGCCCAGACUCCUACGGGAGGCAGCAGUGGGGAAUAUUGGACAAUGGGCGAAAGCCUGAUCCAGCAAUGCCGCGUGAGUGAUGAAGGCCUUAGGGUUGUAAAGCUCUUUUACCAGGGAUGAUAGUGACAGUACCUGGAGAAUAAGCUCCGGCUAACUCCGUGCCAGCCGCCGCCGUAAAAC
rnacentral:rRNA from 1 species